UUUCCCAGCUCAAAUGUAAUUGUAAACGUAUCUUCACUUGAUAACUGCUCUGUUCACAUAAUAUGUAAUCACGUCUUCAAGACCUGUUUAUGACUAUAAAACAAUCCAUGGGUUGUAGUAACAAACAGGAUUUUCCUGCCAACCUAACAAGAUGCAACAUGGGGAAAAACAGAAAGGUUUAUGCAAUCCUGGUUAUUUGUUCACUCUGUAAUGAUAUUAUGCAAAGAAUCUUGUGAUUUCUUCAGAGCUUUAAAAAAGGGCAUUAUAAGUAAUGUUUCAGAGAAUGUAUCUAUUUCUCUAGAUUCAAACAAAGUGACUGAUUGAUUGCUUUGAAUAGUUCCCUGUUUACGAAGUAUUUGUAAUGUAAGCGCUUAUCUUGCUCAGUCUUGUUGUUUUGUCUCAGAUUACAGCAGUUAAAAAGCACCAUUCAGACUGACGUGUGUGAAAGUCUAGAAUAUGAGAAACAAAUCUUCUUUGUGGAGACGUCUUUAAUGAAGAAGAACAUGAAGUCAGUUCAGGAGCGUUUCUUCAAAGAAAUGGUUUCUCCUGUGGCCGUCUGCGGUGGAGACGCAGCCUCUCGGCCACCACUCGUCCCCAGGGCGCUGGAAGAAUAAGUGAAUCCCAAUGGAUGAAGGCUCUGGAAGAGGCACCUCCAGGAUUUUAUCA